GCGUAGUCCAGGAGGCCUCUGUGGGCAGAGUCACUUCCGCCCCAGGUACUCGAGGCCGCGGCCUUCCUGCCUCUCGGAAAGGCUCUGGAUCUGGGAUUUAUAUCCCUUUUAGAAGGUGAUCCAUAAAUGUUGGGAUCAGAAAGAAUCCCUCAGGAGCCACAGGUUGGGUUCGGACUUCUGGGUACAGCGUGGAGGCUGUCUCAUGCACUCAGGCAUCCUUCCGAAUAGCUAAUGGUAGCUGGAAUCCAGCACACUCUGCCUGCUAAGGUGCAUGUGGCAGUGUCGGCCUGGGGGAAGCCUUCCCCUAGGAAAAGAAGGAGAAAAUGACCAAGUUCCAGGAGGCGGUGACCUUCCAGGACGUGGCUGUGGUCUUCACGGAGGAGGAGCUGGGGCUGCUGGACGCUGCCCAGAGGAAGCUGUACCAGGACGUGACGCUGGAGAACUUCCGGAACCUGGUCUCCGUGGGGACUCAGCUCUUCAAACCAGACCUUAUAUUCCAGCUGGAGAGAGAAGAAAAGCGUUUGCUGGCGGAGACAGAAACCCAGAGAGAUGGGUGUUCAGGAAUCAAGAACCAACAUAACAUGAAAAGUUUUCAAGAAGUGGAAUUAAGCUAUCUUUCUCCCAAAGAGCUUUCCUCCUGGCAGACCUGGCAACAGGGUACAAGUGGGUUAACCAGGUGUCAAGAUUCCAUGAAAACUUUUCAAAGGAAUACUUCUAAGUUGCAAAAACAAGGUGAUUCCCCCUGCCGGGUUUGGGCAGGAAAACCAAUGCAGAUUUCUGAAGAUGGAAACUAUAUAUUGACUCCUGGAGAGGAUGGUUCCAAUUACACAGAAAAUCAAGAGUUUCCAUCUUGGAGAUCCCAGCAUUCCUGGAGGAAAAUGUAUCUGGCAGAGCCACAUAGUUAUCAGUGUAGAUGUCAACAAGUUUCCAUGAAAAAUAGUUUCUGUGAGUGUGAUGGUGUCAGUUGGAUCUCACAUCACAAUGACGACCUGAGAGUACACAGAACAGAAAAAAACCACAACUGCCAUGACUGUGGAGAAGACAUUAUGAAGAUGUCACUGCAUAAUCAAGAUUUAAUUCAAACAAGGCAAAAGCUCUGCCCCUAUAAUGAUUGCAGAAAAGUCAUCAGGGAUGACUUCAGCUCUGAGGUUCAUCAACAGUUAGACUUAGAAGGGGAAUCCCAUGCAUACAGUCCAUGUGGAAAGAGCCGUCAUUAUAAUUCAGUUCCUCAUACUCAUCAAUGUGUUCAUAGAAAAGAUGAUUGCAUUUUUGAGACUUCACAUCUGCAGUCCCAUCAGAAAGAACAUACAGAAGAAAAGUCAUGUAUAUGUGAAUGUGGUGAGAUCUUGAAUCAGAGCCCCUCUCUUAACAUGUAUGGACUUACUCACACAGGAAAGAUAUCCUAUAAUUAUAAGAAAGCCUUCAGGCACAGCUUAGACCUCAAUGGUAUUUUUAGGGUUAGCACUGGGCAGGAACCCCAUGAACAUAAGGAAAAUGGGAAUGUCCUUAAUAAUAGUUCUCAUCUGCAAGUCCGUCAGAAAACCCACAUUGAAGAGAAACUAUGCACCGAUUUAGAGUAUGAGGGAGGUUUCAUUUGUAGCUCAGAUCUUAGUAUUCAGCCUAGAAUUCACAUGGAAGAGAUUCCCUGUAAUUCAGACGAGUGUGCUGAUGGCUUCAGUCUGCCCUCUCAUUUUCAGAACCUUCAGAUAGUCUGUCCUAGGGAACAGCCAUAUAAACAUUAUUCAUGUGGUAACAGCGCCGGCCAAAAUUUGUAUCUUCAAGGCCAUCAGAAAACUCACAUUGGAGAGAAACCAUGUAAGGAGUAUGGAAAUGGCUUCAACUUGAAUUUAAAACUUAAAGGUCACCAGAGAAUACACACUGGAGAGAAGCCAUACAAAUGCAGUGCUUGUGGUAAAGACUUCAGUCAUAGAUCAGUUUUUAAUGUCCAUCAGAGAGUCCACACAGGAGAGAAACCUUAUAAAUGUGAGGAGUGUGAUAAGGGAUUCAGUCGCAGUUCAUACCUUCAAGCCCAUCAGAGAGUCCACACUGGAGAAAAGCCAUACAAAUGUGAAGAAUGUGGGAGGGGCUUCAGUCGCAAUGCAUACCUUCAGGGCCACCAGAGAGUUCACACUGGUGAAAAACCAUAUAAGUGUGAGGAGUGUGGGAAGGGCUUCAGUCGGAGUUCACACCUCCAAGGCCAUCAGAGAGUCCACACGGGAGAGAAACCUUACAAAUGUGAGGAGUGUGGGAAGGGAUUCAGUUGGAGCUUUAACCUUCAAAUUCAUCAGAGGGUUCACACAGGGGAGAAACCCUAUAAAUGUGGGGAAUGUGAUAAGGGCUUCAGUAAGGCCUCAACUCUUCUGGCCCAUCAGAGAGUUCACACAGGAGAGAAGCCAUACCAAUGUGAUGAGUGUGGGAAGAGCUUCAGUCAGAGGUCAUAUCUUCAAAGCCACCAGAGUGUCCACACUGGAGAGAGACCAUACAUAUGUGAGGUGUGUGGGAAGGGCUUCAGUCAGAGAGCAUAUCUUCAGGGUCAUCAGAGGGUCCACACUAGAGUGAAGCCAUAUAAAUGUGACGUGUGCGGGAAGGGCUUUAGUCAGAGUUCACGCCUUGAAGCACAUCGGAGGGUUCACACGGAAGGGAAACCAUACAAAUGUGAGGUUUGUACGAAGCGCUUCAGUGAGCGCUCACGUCUUCAGGCACAUCAGAGGAUCCACAUAGACGGGCGGGCCUACAAAUGUGAACAGUGUGGCAAGGGUUUCAGUGGAUUUUCAAGUCUUCAAGCCCAUCACAGAGUCCACACUGGGGAAAAGCCAUACAAAUGUGAGGUGUGUGGAAAGGGCUUCAGUCAGAGAUCAAAUCUUCAGGCUCACCAGAGAGUCCACACAGGAGAGAAACCAUACAAAUGUGAUGCAUGUGGUAAGGGUUUUCGUUGGAGCUCGGGUCUCCUAAUUCAUCAAAGAGUCCAUAGUGAUACAUUUUAUAAAAGUGAGGCGUAUGGUAAGCAUUAUCCAUCAGAUAACCCGUACACAAAUGAGAUCCUAUAAAAUGGUAUUUUGUUUUGAAGUCCUCAAAUGGAAGCUGAAUUUUCCCAUUUAUCAGAGUUCUUAGAGUAAGAGAAGAUUAUCUUUAAUGAAAAUGUGAUGUUUUAACCCAACCUCACAAUAGGAGACCACACAGCAGAUAUCUAAUGAGAGAGGUUUCAUAAGGGAUGUAUAGCAUCAGUCAUUGCACAUGACUAGUUGCACUAGGGCUUAUAAAGUACGGUCGGGAAUUUAACAAAAGUACAAUGAUGAGCGAGCUUAAGUCCAUAUCCACUAGAACGUAAGCUUAAUGGGAGGAGCUGCAUUCACUGCCUAACUCAAUGUAGGUGCUCAGUACUUUUUGCUAAAUGACAAAGUGUGUGUUGAAAUUUUUUUAAAGCUCAUCCCCUCCCCCUACCCCCCAAAAAAGACAUGUAUUUGGAAGACUGCAAGUAACCUUAAUAUAAUCAAGUAUUGAAACAUGGAACAUCAAGUAGUAUUUCAAUCUGAAAUGACAUGAAUUUGUAACCCUGUUAGGAUUUAUUUCUGUCCUAUAUGCUAAGUAGGGAUGAGCUAAAUUUCUUACCAUCUCUCACUUUUAUAUACUAUCAGUUUAAAUUUUAGCUCUGUUGUGUGUGUGUGUGCGCGUGCCAGUAUGUACAUAUGUGCACUUUAAUUGACAGUGCAAACUGAUUAUGUUUCUGGUUAACUUUGCAAAAAUGGAACACUCCAUUUUACAUAAUUGAAUUUUUACUCCUGCCUGGGUGUUAAGGCAGAAUUUUACUGUAAUAUUUGGAUAGUGUCAGAAAUUGUUACUAAUGAAAAAUACUUUCUUAAUAAAUGUCAAAAUUACAA